UACGUAGGAUGCAAGCGUUGUCCGGCAUUAUUGGGCGUAAAGAGUUCGUAGGCGGUUGCCUAAGUCUGGUGUUAAAUACAGGAGCUCAACUCCUGCAUGGCACUGGAAACUGGGCAGCUAGAGUGUGGUAGAGGUCACGGGAAUUCCAGGUGUAGCGGUGAAAUGCGUAGAUAUCUGGAGGAACACCAGUGGCGAAAGCGCGUGACUGGGCCACAACUGACGCUGAGGAACGAAAGCCAGGGGAGCGAAAGGG
rnacentral:rRNA from 1 species